AGGUGAUCCAUGGGCUCAUGGGAUCUGUAAGCUCAAGCAGUGGGACCCAAAGGUGAAAGCCCUCAGAAUCCUGGCAACUGGUCCCAAAGCUGCUGGUGAUCUUGAUCCAAUUGCCUGGUCCGGUAAUCUUGAUCCGAAGAUCUGAUGCCACACAAAAUGACUGCACCUUGAUGGUCUCUAUAACAGACAGCUCCCGAGCAACGGGUGCUCAGACUAAUUUAAUUAAAAAAAAAAACCACACACCAAAGUUCUGAGAACUGCAGAAAGACAUCUUUAAUCUUCA